UGCUGGUGGUGUAAGGGUUAAGCACGCAACCAUGUGCAGAGGCUAUAGUCCUCGAUGUGGCUGUCCUGGGUUCGAGUCUCAGACCUGGCAA